AGUGGUUCUACCUUCACAAACUACCAAACCACGACUACAGAAAUAAGUUCUGGCGACGUUUUCAGUCGGGCUUUGGAUCCAUAUCCACACUAUGUAGGAAAUAUUCCACGCCGCAUCAACUAUGAAUGUUGGCGAAAUUAUCAACACUGUUGGACAUGGUUUGAUUCUACUAAUGAUUUGUUGUUGUUCAAGUAUUGCUGCUGAUUACCAGCAUCGAAGAAAAAACAGAACUUGUAUUCCUGCCGAAGCUGAGCCAACACUCAACUCAAGUUCCUGUUUUCCUUUGGUGAAUUUCACUCGGCCUUUUUGUAAAAA